rnacentral:rRNA from 1 species
UCCCUGAUUUAGCGGCGGACGGGUGAGUAAUGCCUAGGAAUCUGCCUGGUAGUGGGGGAUAACGUUCCGAAAGGAACGCUAAUACCGCAUACGUCCUACGGGAGAAAGCAGGGGACCUUCGGGCCUUGCGCUAUCAGAUGAGCCUAGGUCGGAUUAGCUAGUUGGUGAGGUAAUGGCUCACCAAGGCGACGAUCCGUAACUGGUCUGAGAGGAUGAUCAGUCACACUGGAACUGAGACACGGUCCAGACUCCUACGGGAGGCAGCAGUGGGGAAUAUUGGACAAUGGGCGAAAGCCUGAUCCAGCCAUGCCGCGUGUGUGAAGAAGGUCUUCGGAUUGUAAAGCACUUUAAGUUGGGAGGAAGGGCAGUAAGUUAAUACCUUGCUGUUUUGACGUUACCGACAGAAUAAGCAC